rnacentral:rRNA from 1 species
UACGUAGGGUGCGAGCGUUGUCCGGAAUUAUUGGGCGUAAAGCGCACGUAGGCGGCAUUGCAAGUCGGAUGUGAAAUCCCUCGGCUCAACCAAGGAAGUGCAUCCGAAACUGCAGUGCUUGAGUACUUAAGAGGAUCGCGGAAUUCCCGGUGUAGAGGUGAAAUUCGUAGAUAUCGGGAGGAACACCAGUGGCGAAGGCGGAUCUCUGGACAGUUACUGACACUGAGGCACGAAGGCCAGGGGAGCAAACAGG